CCGACUGUCCGACCACGGAAGCGGUGAAUUUUAAAAUGGAGACCGACAAUCAAUUGUUAAAAAUGUAAUCGAUAGUUUCAUGUUAAGUUACUGAAUGUGUUGAAAGGAAACAGCUCAUCAGAGUUUCUGCAUCGGGAGGUUCAAUUCCUGAUUCACCACAGCAUUAGCAGCACUAUGAAAAACUUCAAUGAGUAACAAGAAGCAAGUGGAUUCAUUUGCUGACGAAGAUGCCUUGGACAUCGAGGAUUAAAUUCAGCAUUAAUGGGUAGGAAUGUCGGCGAACGCUUAUCUCAUACCAUGCAACCGUAACUGACGAAACACAUAGUGACUAAACUGAGCUAUCAGAGCUUCUAUCAUGAUUAGGAGUAUCUUCCGGAACAGGAUAUCACUAAUCACAAUCAAACGCUACUUUAGAACUCAUCCGAAGAGCAGAUCUAUGUCUGGUAAAAGAAGGCAUCACACAUAAUCGUCUUCAAAGUCCUCCACGGCUGGACCAGUUGGUGAGACUUUAUUGAUCGGUUACCUGAAAAGGAAAACCAGUGUUAGACCUAAAAAAAAUAUAUUUUGUUAUAUACCUAGUGCAUUCAGCGUAUUAUUUUUUUCUCUCAGCAAAUGAAUUCCAAACAUUGCAAACAAUAUAAAUAAACAAACACAAAUACUUAUCGACAAAUGAUAUUCAUUUG